rnacentral:rRNA from 1 species
CCUCCUAAAGAGUCCUGGUAGACUACCAGGUUGAUAGGUCGGAUGUGUAAGUGCAGUAAUGCAUUGAGCUAACCGAUACUAAUGACUCGUGAGGUUUUAUUUU